GCCGGUUUUGCUCAGUGGAUAGAGCGUUGGCCUUUGGACUCAAGGGUCCCUGGUUCAAUUCCAGUCAGGGGCA
rnacentral:tRNA from 1 species